rnacentral:rRNA from 1 species
UCGUCACACUAUCAUUAACUGAAUCCAUAGGUUAAUGAGGCGAACCGGGGGAACUGAAACAUCUAAGUACCCCGAGGAAAAGAAAUCAACCGAGAUUCCCCCAGUAGCGGCGAGCGAACGGGGAGGAGCCCAGAGCCUGAAUCAGCAUGUGUGUUAGUGGAAGCGUCUGGAAAGGCGCGCGAUACAGGGUGACAGCCCCGUACACAAAAGCGCAUGUGCUGUGAGCUCGAUGAGUAGGGCGGGACACGUGGUAUCCUGUCUGAAUAUGGGGGGACCAUCCUCCAAGGCUAAAUACUCCUGACUGACCGAUAGUGAACCAGUACCGUGAGGGAAAGGCGAAAAGAACCCCGGCGAGGGGAGUGAAAAAGAACCUGAAACCGUGUACGUACAAGCAGUGGGAGCACAGGUUUACCUGUGUGACUGCGUACCUUUUGUAUAAUGGGUCAGCGACUUAUAUUCUGUAGCAAGGUUAACCGUAUAGGGGAGCCGGAGGGAAACCGAGUCUUAA